CUGGGGGAUCUUGCGCAUGGGCGAAGCCUGAGCAGCGACGCCGCGUGAGGGAUGACGGCCUUCGGGUUGUAAACCUCUUUCAGCUCCGACGAAGCGGAAGUGACGGUAGGAGCAGAAGAAGCACCGGCCAACUACGUGCCAGCAGCCGGGGUAAUACCUAGGGGGCGAGCUUGGCCCGGAAUUAUUGGGCGUAAAGAAGCUCGUAGGCGGUCUGUCGCGUCGGCUGUGAAAACUCGGGGCUCAACUCCGAGCUUGCAGUCGAUACGGGCAGGCUAGUUUUCGGCAGGGGAAACUGGAAUUCCUGGUGUGGCGGUGAAAUGCGCAGAUAUAGGGGGAAACACCGGUGGCGAAAGGCGGGUCUCUGGGCCGAUACUGACGCUGAGGAGCGAAAGCGUGGGGAGCGAACAGGAUUAGAUACCCUGGUAGUCCACGCCGUAAACGUUGGGCGCUAGGUGUGGGAUCCCUUCCACGGGUUCCGUGCCGCAGCUAACGCAUUAAGCGCCCCGCCUGGGGGAGUACGGGC
rnacentral:rRNA from 1 species